GGGGAGGUGCCGGAGUGGACGAUCGGGGCCGCCUGCUAAGCGGUUGUGGGGACAAUAAAUCUCCACCCAGGGUUCGAAUCCCUGCCUCCCCG
rnacentral:tRNA from 2 species